GACGUAGCUGGUCAGGUCACCCUGAUAUAAUCAGGGACAAAUAGGAAAUCACUCUCUUCUCUGCAGACUUGCUGAGAAGUCGACAUGUAGAAUGGCAGAGGAGUAACAGGUCCCUGAAUCUUUCUCUGGAAAGAGAAGACCACGUGGGAAUACUUGGAUUAAUAAUGAUGGUUUCUUUAUAUGUUGGAUCACACUGACUGAUUUUCAUACAUUGAACCAUCCCCACACCUCUAGAAUGAAUCGUACUUGAUCUUGG
rnacentral:lncRNA from 1 species